GACGAACGCUGGCGGCGUGCUUAACACAUGCCAGUCGAACGGUGAAGCGCCUUCCUUUUUGGUGGGUGUGGAUGAGUGGCGAACGGGUGAGUAACACGUGAGUAACCUGCCCCCUUCUUCUGGAUAACCGCAUGAAAGUGUGGCUAAUACGGGAUAUUCUGGGUCUGUCGCAUGAUGGGUCUGGGAAAGAUAUUGUUUCGGUGGGGGAUGGGCUCGCGGCCUAUCAGCUUGUUGGUGGGGUGAUGGCCUACCAAGGCGGUGACGGGUAGCCGGCCUGAGAGGGUGGACGGUCACACUGGGACUGAGACACGGCCCAGACUCCUACGAGAGGCAGCAGUGGGGAAUAUUGCACAAUGGGCGCAAGCCUGAUGCAGCGACGCCGCGUGAGGGAUGGAGGCCUUCGGGUUGUGAACCUCUUUCGCCAGUGAAGCAGGCCUGCCUCGUUUGUGGGUGGGUUGACGGUAGCUGGAUAAGAAGCGCCGGCUAACUACGUG
rnacentral:rRNA from 1 species